rnacentral:ncRNA from 2 species
UUCUUAUUAAGAGAAGUGGAGGGACCUGGCCCGACGAAACUUCAGCAACCUCCAUCCGAAAGGUGCUGCUUCCAGCAAGAGUAAUCUUGAAAGAUAAGAG